rnacentral:rRNA from 1 species
UACGUAGGGUGCGAGCGUUUGUCCGGAAUUAUUGGGCGUAAAGAGCUUGUAGGCGGUUUGUCGCGUCUGCUGUGAAAUCUCAAGGCUCAACCUUGAGCUUGCAGUGGGUACGGGCAGACUAGAGUGUGGUAGGGGAGACUGGAAUUCCUGGUGUAGCGGUGAAAUGCGCAGAUAUCAGGAGGAACACCGAUGGCGAAGGCGGCAUCCUGGACCGACAUUGGACGCU